AUUGAACGCUGGCGGCAGGCCUAACACAUGCAAGUCGAGCGGAUGAAGGGAGCUUGCUCCUGGAUUCAGCGGCGGACGGGUGAGUAAUGCCUAGGAAUCUGCCUGGUAGUGGGGGAUAACGUCCGGAAACGGGCGCUAAUACCGCAUACGUCCUGAGGGAGAAAGUGGGGGAUCUUCGGACCUCACGCUAUCAGAUGAGCCUAGGUCGGAUUAGCUAGUUGGUGGGGUAAAGGCCUACCAAGGCGACGAUCCGUAACUGGUCUGAGAGGAUGAUCAGUCACACCGGAACUGAGAAACGGUCCAGACUCCUACGGGAGGCAGCAGUGGGGAAUAUUGGACAAUGGGCGAAAGCCUGAUCCAGCCAUGGCGCGUGUGUGAAGAAGGUCUUCGGAUUGGAAAGCACUUUAAGUUGGGAGGAAGGGCAGUAAGUUAAUACCUUGCUGUUUUGACGCUACCAACAGAAUAAGCACCGGCUAACUUCGUG
rnacentral:rRNA from 1 species